AAGAUGAGUUUGAGAAUUGAUAAUCCACUGUGGUAAAGAGGAUUGUACCAUCGGUAGAACACAAGCAGCCGAUUUUGGCAAUUAUUUUGUUAGAGUUUAUGCUAGAGAUGAGAUUUUCUCCUAUUAAGACUUCCGCCACCCAAAUGAAUUAGAGUGGAGAGAGAGGGUCACCUUAAUUUGGACAUAUCAUAUUGCACAUCUAUUUACCAAGUUUUCCGUUAACUAACAAUGCAAAUUUAUCAAUCUCUAGACAAAGUCGGGUCCAAUUUAUCUACUUUGAGUCAAACUCUUCGACCUCUAGGAGUUUUAACAUAAAUUUUCAGUUUACUCCAUCAAAUGAUUUUUUUAAUAUCUAUUUUAUAAACUAUACUUGCCUCUUUAGAGCAUUUGCUUCUCGGCUGCACUGGAAAAACUAUCUUGAAUUGCUCUUCCUUUAAGAAAUAUUAGUUGAGAGUUAGAGAUUAACCGGUGCACGUGUUUCUCUAGCUAGAUUGAGAGAAUCUUUGUGACAAUUUUUGGUACACUGUUAAUUAGGCUUGUGAGUCAGUAGAAAUCAACUUUCUUGGGUCUUAAUUAAAUUUGUGGAUAAUUUAACUUGCAUAUAAACAUUGGAAGAGAUUAGUGAAGUCUUGCUCAGUCGGAACCAAAAAAUGCUGGUUGAAUGAUAUUGGAAAUCCAUCGAUCCCUAGUGAUUUAUUGCCAACAAUAACAAAAAUGAUAGUUUUUAUCUCCUCCUCUUAAAAUGGAUUAUCAAACUUAGUUUUAUCUAGUAGA
rnacentral:lncRNA from 1 species